UACGGAAUGUGCAAACGUUAUUCGGAAUCACUGGGCUUAAAGAGUCCGUAGGCGGCUUGUUAGGUGAGGUGUGAAAUCCCCCGGCUCAACCGAGGAAUUGCGCUUCAAGCCGGCAAGCUUGAGGAGGAUAGAGGUGGGCGGAACUGAUGGUGGAGCGGUGAAAUGCGUUGAUAUCAUCAGGAACACCGGAGGCGAAAGCGGUCCACUGGGUCCUUUCUGACGCUGAGGGACGAAAGCUAGGGGAGCGAACGGG
rnacentral:rRNA from 1 species